rnacentral:rRNA from 1 species
CCUACGGGUGGCAGCAGUGGGGAAUAUUGGACAAUGGGGGAAACCCUUAUCCAGCGACGCCGCGUGAGGGAAGAAGGUUUUCGGAUUGUAAACCUCUGUUAGUGGGGACGAUAAUGACGGUACCCACGGAGGAAGCCACGUCUAACUACGUGCCAGCAGCCGCGGUAAUACGUAGGUGGCAAGCGUUGUCCGGAAUUACUGGGUGUAAAGGGAGUGUAGGCGGGAUGGCUAGUCAGAAGUGAAAGUUAUGGGACCAACUCAUAACGUGCUUUUGAAACUGUGAUUCUUGAGUGAAGUAGAGGCACGUGGAAUUCGUAGUGUAGCGGUGAAAUGCGUAGAUAUUAGGAGGAACCCCAGUGGCGAAGGCGGCUUGCUAGGCUUUUACUGACGCUGAUGCUCGAAAGCGUGGGGAGCAAACAGGAUUAGAUACCCCUGUAGUC